GGACCCAUGGCGCAACGGUAGCGCGUCAGAUUCCAGUUCUCUUUGGAAUCUCCUGAAGGUUAUCCGUUCGAAUCGGGUUGGGUUCA
rnacentral:tRNA from 1 species